UCUGAGAUUUCUUUUCAUCUGCUCCAUUCCUCACUCUUUUUUUUUGCAUUCGCCUCUCUCGUGAUAGGGAAAGGCAUACAUGGGAGAGGAGAGGCACCGCAUAUAGAGCUCUAUCCCAUUCCUCUCUAUCUUUUUUUUUUUUUACGUGCACCACUCUCGUCACAGGAAAUGGUAUGAGAGAGGAGAGACAGAGCAGAGCCGAUCUACUUAGCUGUUGGGAGCAUCUCUG
rnacentral:lncRNA from 1 species